ensembl:miRNA
AUUGUGCUAUUAUUAGGUUGGCACAAAAGUAAUUGCGGUUUUUGCCAUUACUUUUAAUCACAAGAACCGCAAUUACUUUUGCACCAAC